GACUGCGUGUUGGUCACGUACAGAUUCGAAGGGAUUCGUGGCUUUUUCAAGGGGCUCUCG
rnacentral:SRP_RNA from 1 species